GAUUCAAAAGGACGCACGCACUUUAAAAGUAUCAGCGGUUUCCAUUGGUUGCUUCCGAUGGAAAUUAUUGAUUUACACACUGGUUGGAUCUAAUUGGUUAGUGCAGCGCCAUUCCCUAUCCGGGAUAUAUCUCAAUGCCUGGUUACAGGUGCAACACAAUUGUAUUAUAGCUGCAACUAUGAACUUUAAAAUCUUCAUUCUCUUUGUUUUGGCCAACCUGUUGGUCUUGGGUGGCGCCACUGAGGACGCAACUGAUGGAAAUGAGGCGAAAAGAGGCGCCACACGUCUGCCUGGCUCCAAACUCCUUGUUAAUCAAAUCCAGGCUGCGCCUCCGAAAGCAGAACUUUUAACUUCAAAAAGAAGUGAGUAAACGAGGAGACGAGGUCAAGGUCGAAUGAAAAUUGGGACCCUGCAACGAAGUCUUAACGCAACUGGGUACAUCAAAUCUCUUCGAAUCAUGUUUAGUUCUGAUUAGCCAAU